CACAGCUACCAGAAGACUUCUGAAAACUUUGUUUUGGAAGAAACAAAGCUCUUAUUGUGAAAGUCUGCUUCCUGACAGGUGGAGCUGUGACGCAUCAGGAAACAACUCACCUGAGUUGUUCUACGUCGACAUUUUGGACUGUUUGAGGAAACUCCCUUCCUGCCUGCUUCCUGACAGGUGGAGCUGUGACUCAUUCCAGGAAACAGCUCACCUGUGUCAGAGAUUUCUCUGCAGGUGGAGAGAAACCCUCUUCUUCAUCAACUCUUCUUCAUCAACUCUUCUUCAUCAACUCUUUGGACUGUUUGAAGAAACUGACCCAUCAGAGGCAAGACCCUCCUGAACCUGGACCUGAACCUGAACCUGAACCUGACCCCCUGGACCUGAC